rnacentral:rRNA from 1 species
AAUGAACGCUGGCGGCGUGCUUAACACAUGCAAGUCGAGCGGAAAGGCCGUGCUUUUGCGGGGUGUUCGCGGCGGGAGGGGGAGAGAAACACGUGAGUAUGCUGGCCAUGGCUUUGGAAUGACUGCAGGAAAGUGGUGAUAAUGCCGAAUUGCUGAUGCUGAUAGAUGGGGGGGGUUGGACAGUUUCGGAGGUUGGGGAUGGAUGCGCGGCUUAUCAGCUUGUUGGUUGGGUAGUGGCUUACCAAGGCUUUGACGGGUGGCCGGCCUGAGAGGUUGAGCGGCCACAUUGGUACUGAGAUACGGCCCAGACUCCUACGUGAGGCAGCAGUGGGGAAUAUUGCACAAUGGGCGGAAGCCUGAUGCAGCAACGCCGCGUGCGGGAUGACGGCCUUCGGGUUGUAAACCGCUUUCGCCUGUGACGAAGCGUGAGUGACGGUAAUGGGUAAAGAAGCACCGGCUAACUACGUG